rnacentral:tRNA from 1 species
GCCAGGGUGUUGUAAUCGGUAGCCAAGCCAGACUUAAAAUCUGGUGUUCGCAAGAACGUAUGGGUUCGAGUCCCAUCCCUGGCA